rnacentral:rRNA from 1 species
AGCGAACGCUGGCGGCAGGCCUAACACAUGCUAGUCGAACGAAGCCUUCGGGCUUAGUGGCGGACGGGUGAGUAACACGUGGGAACGUACCUUUUGGUUCGCAACAACUCAGGGAAACUUGAGCUAAUACCGGAUGAGCCCUUAGGGGGAAAGAUUUAUCGCAGAAAGAGCGGCCCGCGUUAGAUUAGCUAGUUGGUGAGGUAAAGGCUCACCAAGGCAAAGAUCUAUAGCUGGUCUGAGAGGAUGAUCAGCCACACUGGGACUGAGACACGGCCCAGACUCCUACGGGAGGCAGCAGUGGGGAAUCUUGCGCAAUGGGCGAAAGCCUGACGCAGCCAUGCCGCGUGAAUGAUGAAGGUCUUAGGAUUGUAAAAUUCUUUUACCAGGGACGAUAAUGACGGUACCUGGAGAAAAAGCCCCGGCUAACUUCGUGCCAGCCGCCGCCGUAACAC